GACGGGGAGGAGGCAAAGAAGAUGUGAACCUCCGUGGGGACGGGAUUCGCUUAGCAUGGAGCCUCGGCCCUUCCCUCACCUGGCUCCUGGACCUGGCUGUGGGACACCUGCAUGGUGGAUGGUGCCUGAGAGAAGGCAUUGAGCACGGUGAGGCUGCCAUCAGCCAGGCCCGAGGUGGGGGCAUACAUCACUGCAUGGGGACUAGGGUACAUCAUGUGGCCACCCACAGUUGUGGGUACAGACGACGUCAUGAUGGUGGCGGGCAACGUCACUGGAAAACACAGACACACAUCAGGGAGCUGACCCCUCCUGGCAUCUCUCUCUCAUCCUGCCCCAGGAUUCCAGCUUCAGGAUCUUUGUCACGUCCUAUGUCACAAGUUUGUCAAAAGUUUGUUUCUCUGCUCCUUGUCAACAACAACAAUAAAGCCUAACUUUUCCUUCUGAGC
rnacentral:lncRNA from 1 species